AUGGUGUCGAGCGCGGCCAGGCUCGUCUGGCAGCUCGUGCUGACCCCGAACGCCUACGCGCGCGCGGCGGUAAGCUGGAUUGGGCACGGAUCGCUGUGUAUGCCCAACGCCGUCCACCGCCUCCAGGGAUGGUACCUCUGCUACUUCUCAUCAGAUUUCAUCACCGAUUGGUGGUUGUUACGGCGACACCUGAAGGAGAGGGUUAUCUUUCGGAGGCUCAGAUCAUGGAGGAAAUCACAGGGUAACUGUGUUGCUACCGGGAACAAUAGUGCUGGUGAUUAA
rnacentral:rRNA from 1 species